CCGGACAGCAGCUGGAGUGCAUGCCGCGACGCCGAUUCCGGCUCGGUCCGGUAGACGAAGAUCGUCUGCUCGGGAUCGUCGCCCGGUGUCAGGGCC
rnacentral:tRNA from 1 species